GCCUGGCUGGCUCAGUUGGUAGAGCAAGUGACUCUUGGUCUCAGGGUUGUGAGUUUGAGCCCCAUGUUGGGUG
rnacentral:tRNA from 1 species